rnacentral:pre_miRNA from 1 species
GAGGCUGAUUGUCCAAACGCAAUUCUUGUAAAAUGUAAAUCCAAUCCAAGAAUUGUGCCUGGACAUCUGUUGC